rnacentral:lncRNA from 1 species
AUGAAAUUGAAGAACAUAACAUCAAAAUCUACCACUUACCUGAUGCAGAAUCAGAUGAAAAUGAAGAUUUUAAAGAGCAGACUAGACUUCUCAAGGCUAGCAUCCCGUCCAUUCAGAGAUUGGAUCAAACUGGUUGGAUCCAAUCAGUUGAUUGAAGCCAAAGGAAAGAAGGAUCUCCAGGAGGUGACCCAGGACCUUCAUUAUGAAAACCUCCGUUCUGAGAGACUCAAGAGAGGCGGCAGGAAAGUGGAGAAUGAGGACAUGAAUAAAGACCAGAUCUUGCUGGAAAAAGAAGCUGAGCUCCGCCGCAUGCAAGAGAUGAUCGCAAGGAUGCAGGCGCAGAUGCAGAUGCAGAUGCAGGGCUGGGGAUGGCGAUGGCGGGGCUCUCGGGCACCACGUGUAAGGUGAUGUGCACAUAUCAAGAAGUCAGAGAAAACACUUUCCUGGAUAAAAAAGAAAACAUUCCAGAUGCAUGAUCCAGCUGUGUGUUUUCAAUUCUUGGGAGGGUGCCAUUCACAUUUUAACAGUACCUGUGCCUGAGAAUUUAAUUUUUAAAAGACUUUUGAUGUUUUUUGUAUGAAGUACUUUUAACAUAUGUAUUUCAUUGCUGUGUUAUACUCUGCAUUUUGUGAGGUGAAUGUUUUCCUUUUCUUUCCCCCUAACCACUGUUAGAAUUGAUUUCCAAGACUCGGCAUGUAUACUUAAUACUGAAUUUCUUUGAUUUAACUGACUUAAAAACUUACUAACCAUUGAUGAGCACUCCUGAUUUAUAUCUAGAACAUUCAGAUUUAGCCAUAAUGUUCCUGAAUGGUAGAGACGUGUGCCUAGUGAUGUAGAAAGAUGCACUGACUUGGUGCAAGGGCAUCUACUUACCACAUCACACCACUUGGAGACUCUUUGCUUCCUUGCUUUUAUGUUUGUACACAACACCUAAAAUCAGUUUUGCUGCUAUAAUUCUAUACUGUUGAAUCGUCUGCGAUUUUAUCUGUUAACCAAACAAAACAUAAUAGAAUUUCCUAAUGAGAUAUAUCUUUAAACAGCUUUUUUAGAGGUGAGUUUUAAAGAAGUCUCUUAAUUCUGAUGCUAGGUUGUUUUUAAAACCACUAUGCAAAGAACUCACCACAAGCCACUUUUUGUAGUGUUCUCCACUAAUACUGGUUAUCCUGUGCUACAGAGAAAAUCAAAGUAUUCAUGAGCUCCAGUUUUUGUAUUGCAAAUAAGAGAUUGCUCUUUCAAAUGGUAGUUCUGCUCCUAGCUCUUCGAGGAAUUGCCAUACUGCUUUCCACAGUGGUUGAACUAAUUUACACUUCCACCAACAGUGUAUUAAUGUUCCUUUUCUCAGCAACCUCACCAGCAUCUGUUGUUUUUUG